GGGAAUAUGGAGAGCUCAGUGGGGU
rnacentral:piRNA from 1 species